rnacentral:rRNA from 1 species
UACGUAGGGUGCGAGCGUUGUCCGGAAUUAUUGGGCGUAAAGAGCUCGUAGGCGGUGUGUCACGUCGAUCGUGAAAACUUGGGGCUUAACCCUGAGCUUGCGGUCGAUACGGGCAUCACUGGAGUUCGGCAGGGGAGACUGGAAUUCCUGGUGUAGCGGUGAAAUGCGCAGAUAUCAGGAGGAACACCUGCGGCGAAGGCGGGUUGCUGGGCUGACACUGACGCUGAAGCGCGAAAGCUAGGGGAGCGAACGGG